rnacentral:rRNA from 1 species
GAUGAACGCUGGCGGCGUGCUUAACACAUGCAAGUCGAACGGAAAGGCUCCUGCUUGCAGGGGUACUCGAGUGGCGAACGGGUGAGUAACACGUGGGUGAUCUGCCCUGCACUUCGGGAUAAGCCUGGGAAACUGGGUCUAAUACCGGAUAGGACCACAUUUUGGAUGGUGUGGUGGAAAGUUUUUCGGUGUGGGAUGAGCUCGCGGCCUAUCAGCUUGUUGGUGGGGUAAUGGCCUACCAAGGCGUCGACGGGUAGCCGGCCUGAGAGGGUGUACGGCCACAUUGGGACUGAGAUACGGCCCAGACUCCUACGGGAGGCAGCAGUGGGGAAUAUUGCACAAUGGGCGGAAGCCUGAUGCAGCGACGCCGCGUGGGGGAUGACGGCCUUCGGGCUGUAAACUCCUUUCGCUAGGGACGAAGCGCAAGUGACGGUAACUGGAGAAGAAGCACCGGCUAACUACGUG